rnacentral:rRNA from 1 species
UACAGAGGUCCCAAGCGUUGUUCGGAUUCACUGGGCGUAAAGGGUGCGUAGGCGGCCGGGUAAGUCUGAUGUGAAAUCCCGCAGCUCAACUGCGGAACUGCAUCGGAUACUCUCCGGCUAGAGGAAUGGAGGGGAGACUGGAAUUCUCGGUGUAGCAGUGAAAUGCGUAGAUAUCGAGAGGAACACCUGCGGCGAAGGCGGGUUGCUGGGCUGACACUGACGCUGAGGCGCGAAAGCUAGGGGAGCGAACGGG